AAUUUAAAAAAAGUCUGCUCCCGAUCUCGUCUGAUCUCGGAAGCUAAGCAGGGUCGGGCCUGGUUAGUACUUAGAUGGGAGGCCGCCUGGGAAUACCAGGUGCUGUAAGCUU
rnacentral:rRNA from 1 species